rnacentral:lncRNA from 1 species
AUGCUACAUUAGUAGAAAUUUGAUUAAUACAUCUCUAAAACAACAGCAUACAUACUAAAUAAUAAUAAAAACAAAGAUUUAGGUUUAUUGCAGUGUUUUGUCUUUUAGGCUAUGAUUAUAAACAGAAGAAGCCAAGACCAAGGCCUGGGCUAAAACAGAAGAUUUUGCCCUCUUUGAAUGCUGAGUUAUACACAUUCACCUGCAGAUUCUGUGACCUGGUCUUUCAGGGUCCCAUGUCUAUCCAGGAGGACUGGAUCAAGCAUUUACAGAGACACCUUCUGCACACCAGUGUGCCCCACACAGGAACAGGGAUGGUGGAGAUUUUGGAUAUUCAUCACUAAAUACAUUUAAGCAUGUCUCAUGAGCAUCUAGACAUUGUGUAGAGUUAAAUCACUCUGGAACUUCCAGUUUGCACUUGGAUUUGCACAGUUUAUCUGUAUACUCAAUAUGUUAUGUUAAUCUGCAGUUGUUUAUAAGAGCAUAUACAGCAACAGUUACUCCAGACUACUUAAUAAAAGUAUAUAUUGGUAUAUACAGUAAUAAUACUGCAUAAAUUAGCAAAAAUUACUAUGCUUUGCCUAAUCUUAUAUUUACUAAUACACAUCAUAGGAUGAUUCUUCACUGACCGGUGGAGGAGUAUAAUCAGUAUAAUCUGGCCUGGCAGUGCAGAACUGCCAUUGUUAAAAACAAAUUGCUCUCAUACUUGUGAUAGAUGUGAUAAAAAAAGUGCCUUGUUAUUAUUACAAAGCAUUUUGUUCUAAUGGAAAAAUAUUUUCAUUUUAAAUAUCCAAAUAUGUAACUUUCUUCUAAAGUUCUAUGCUGAAAAAGAAACAUUAUAAAAAGAAACAUUUCUCAAUAUCUUCCACACUUUUUCUGAAAAGGCUACAGUAAGAGCAGCAUUGUCACUCUUAUCUGGAAAAAUAUUCUGCAUGUAUAUUGUGUUAGUGUCUCAUUUUGUUUUAUUGCCUAGAGAAAAAUUAAGAUAAGACAAAACCUUAUUAAUCCCUGAACGGAAAUUCAUUUAUCCACUUUUGUUUGUUUGUAGGAAUUCACCUCUCUUACCACCUCCGAUUGUAUCAGAGCCAGCAAGUCCUAAUCAAACCUCCAUUCAAGAUGCUGCAUUAUGUUUGUACAGCUUGUUUUGUUAGUAUUUGUUCCUUUGAUUAACCUUCACCCACCAGUCUAAUUUCUGCAAUCUGGCUUCCAUUAUAGCUGUUAUAUGAACAUCUUUUUCCAGUUCAAACAACAUAUUGUUAGAAUCAUUUUUCUCACUGAGGCAGUUCUGUAUUUUCAAAGGCCAAGAUGGUUCACCUUGGUUCUCAUGUGAGCAAGAAUGUGUUGCAAUUAGUGAUAUUAUACUCAGUGUUGAACAGUCUAAAGACCACAGGCAGUGAAUAUGUACAAUCCAUGCCCAUAAACUGCCCUCCAAACUUCUCACAACUCCUAAACCUGGUGCUUUGUUGGUGAGUUAGCAGAGGUGAUUCCAUAAAUUCAGACAGCAACGUGCAAAGGUGAACUGAUAAUUAAAAUAAUUAAAAUAAUUUCCUUGUUUUCUUUGUUACAUUUCCAUAGCAGGGAUUAUAGCCCAUUGUCUUUUUUAUUUUGAUUGUUUUUUUCUUCAGUGUGUACAAUAUACACAUACAUCAUUGCUUCGAAAAACUCAACUCAGACUUUAUAAGUAUUGUCUCAUAUUAGAUUUUCACAUCUCAAAUUGUCAAAGCCAUUGACUAUAAUGUAAAAAAACCCAAAUAAACAGAAUCAAGCUGCAGACUGAACAAAAAAAUAUAAAUAUAAAUAUUGACUAGUUUUGUCAGUCUGGUAUUAUAAAUGGUUAGGUAUUCAUGUACUUACUAUCUUUAUUGAAAUAUUAUUUCUCAAAAUAAGUUGUUAUAGUGAUGUAGCACUCCCUAACAUAUAGUACAAUUCAGAGUUUUAUAAUUGCAAGUUGUUGAAUUAUUUAAGAAUGUAAAUCUCAGAUAUAUCCGUCAUUCUUCUCUGCUUGGAUGUGAUCAUUUUUAUAAUUAGUGUGGAACAGAUUCUUAUUUGACUUUUGUGGGUAAAAUGUUUAUUAAAGCAACAUUCAUGGUACAA